GACUUGUGUGCGCCGGAUGCGGCGAUCUGCGGCCAAAAGGUCGUUGCGAUCUGCCCGUCCUGGCGCCGUAAAAUUUGCAACUGGGUCGCCGCUGGCCUUAAUUGAUCGGUGGCGUCUGCUCGGUUGCUCGUUUACUGUGAGAAAAUUGGAGUGUUCAAGGCAGGCGUGGAUUGCAACUGAACAUGUUAGCAUGGAAUAAUAAGAUAGGGCUCCGGCUCAUAUUUUGUUGGUUUCUAGGACUGAAGUAAUGAUUGAUAGGGAUAGUUGGGGGUGCUAGUAUUCAGCGGCCAGAGGUGAAAUUCUCGGAUUCGCUGAAGACUAACUUAUGCGAAAGCAUU
rnacentral:rRNA from 1 species